rnacentral:ncRNA from 2 species
UCCACAACACGCGGGAGCGCACGCCGAGUGCGCUGAGAGGACGGCUCGGGGCCGUCGACCGUACGAACCUGACCGGGUAAUGCCGGCGUAGGGAGCACAGAAUGACCGACA